GACGAACGCUGGCGGCGUGCUUAACACAUGCAAGUCGAACGAAGAGGCGAACGGGUGAGUAAUACGUGAGUAACCGGCCCUCCUUGAUGGGAUAAACCUUGGGAACGGGGUCUAAUACCGAAUAAAUGGGGAUGAGCCCGCUACCUAUCAGAUUGUUGGUGGGGUUAUGUCCGACCAGGGCUGUGCCGGGUAGCCGGCCAGAACGGGUGACCGGCUACAUUGGGUAUGAGCGAGGGCCCAGACGCCUACGGGAGGCAGCAGUGGGGGAUAUUGCACGAAGGGCGAAUGCAUUAUGCAGCGGCGCAGGUUGGGGGAUUAAGGCUUGCAGGUUGUAAACAUCGUUCACUAUCGAACCGGUAGGUGGAGAAGAAGCGCCGGCUAACUACGUGCCAGCAGCCGCGGUAAUAC
rnacentral:rRNA from 1 species